AGAAAUGUAGCUCAGUGGUAGAGUACUUGCCUAGCAUGCAAGAAGCCCUGGGUUCAAUCCUCAGCACUGCAA
rnacentral:tRNA from 1 species